AAAUAAAUAUGGCGACUAAGAAACACUUAAUGUCAACAAGAUUGUCUGAUUGACAAGAGAAAAGGUCAAACAGGAACUUCAAUUGUGAACAUUGCAGAGAACACACCCAUCAGAAGAUGACCCUCAGAAAUAGGACAAUUAAUGAAUAAAAUGGAUAGAGGCAGAACUGAAGGAGAUGCAUGAAAUGAGGAAUAUUUCAAAGAUUGCCUUAGCAUAACCACUGCUACUGGAUAAACAUAUGGCAAUAUAAAAGAGCAGGGUCAAUGGAGGUAUCAUACAGUAUAGGCCAUGGGAGACCCUGAAGAAGAAAGUAUUGAAUAGAAACAAAAAUAAAACCAUUUUGACAUUUAUUGAAAUAUAGGAUCAAAGUCUUACAUGUAAAAUUUGGGCAUGUAAUGACUUUUCUCUAGCUCUAAGACUUAUAACAGUGAU